rnacentral:rRNA from 1 species
CCUACGGGAGGCAGCAGUAGGGAAUUUUCGUCAAUGGGCGCAAGCCUGAACGAGCAAUGCCGCGUGAACGAGGAAGGUCUUCGGAUCGUAAAGUUCUGUUGAAGGGGAAAAAGAGCGGUGCGAGGAAAUGCUUUCUUAUUGAUAUUACCCUUCGAGGCAGUCACGGCUCACUCCGUGCCAGCAGCCGCGGUAAUACGUAGGUGGCGAGCGUUAUCCGGAUUGGUUGGGCGUAAAGGGGGCGUAGGCGGCCUGCUAAGUCUGGAGUGAAAGGUACCGGACCAACCGGUACAGGCUCUGGAAACUGGCGGGCUAGAGAGCAGGAGAGGUCGGUGGAACUCGAGGUGUAGCGGUAAAAUGCGUAGAUAUAUCGAAGAACACCGGUGGCGAAGGCGGCCGACUGGACUGUAACUGACGCUGAGGCACGAAAGCGUGGGGAGCAAAUAGGAUUAGAUACCCGUGUAGUC